GGGACAAUAUGCUGGAAGCAAGGAUGAGAAGCAUUUCAUCCAUAACCACUUGACAUUUACUGUUAAGUACCAUAAAGAUUUGCAGACAGACUCGGCCAGAAUUGUGGGAUUUGAGGUCAUGCCAUUUAGUGUUAAGCAUGAAUAUGAUGGUAAAUGGGCUGACAAUACUCGUUUAACAACAUGUGAUCCACAUGCAAAACGGACAGUAUCUAACUCAAAUUCUCCUCAAGAGGUUGAGGCUAACCAAGAAAUCAUAUUUACAUAUGAUGUUGAAUUCCAGAAGAGUGAUGUGAAGUGGGCGUCAAGAUGGGAUGCCUAUCUUUUGAUGGCAGAUGAUCAGAUACACUGGUUCUCGAUAGUAAAUUCUUUAAUGAUUGUGCUGUUCCUGUCAGGCAUGGUGGCAAUGAUAAUGUUGAGAACACUUUAUCGGGACAUUUCCAAGUAUAACGAACUGGAAACCCAGGAAGAGGCACAGGAAGAAACAGGAUGGAAACUAGUCCAUUCAGAUGUUUUCAGGCCUCCAAGUAACUCUGAUCUGCUUUGUGUGUAUGUUGGAACUGGUGUACAGUUUUUCUGUAUGAUGCUUGUGACCAUGAUGUUCGCCGUCCUGGGAUUCCUCUCCCCUUCAAAUCGGGGUGGGCUAAUGACUGCAAUGCUCUUGCUCUGGGUUUUCAUGGGACUCUUUGCGGGCUACUCAGCUUCCCGUCUCUAUAAGAUGUUCAAAGGUACAGAAUGGAAGAAAAUCGCUCUCAGGACAGCAUUUUUGUUCCCAGCUACGGUCUUUGUCAUCUUCUUCGUGUUAAAUGCACUCAUCUGGGGUCAAAAAUCAUCUGGGGCUGUGCUAUUUGGAACAAUGUUUGCUUUGGUGUUCUUAUGGUUCGGAAUAUCAGUCCCUCUUGUGUUUGUUGGCAGUUACGUUGGUUUUAGAAAGCCAACCAUUGAGGAUCCAGUAAAAACGAAUAAAAUACCCAGGCAGAUCCCAGAGCAAGCUUGGUACAUGAACCCCAUCUUCUCAGUUCUUAUUGGAGGCAUACUUCCAU
rnacentral:misc_RNA from 1 species